UCCUUGAUUAUUUUCACUGGCCAGUUGCUCGAUGUUUACUCCGACACGCCACCACAAUACUCUAACCUUAUCUUUGCACUUCCUAACAAUAAUACGAACUCAAUAUAUUUAAUUAUAUACGUAUACGGGCAACACUUUAAUCAAUUAAUCGUUACUCAAAUUUAUAUUUUUCAUCCUAUCAUGAAACUAUCUUUAAUUAACUCACAUCUUAAUACAUUUUUGCUAAAAUUACUUAUAUCCAUUGCUUACGUAAUUCCUUAAAUUAUAUCACCGGUAACUUAAUUAUGAUGUCAUGUGUCUACUUCAACCCUUCUAAAUAAUUUCCACACAUAAUCCACAUAUAUGGCAGCAAUAAUCAUUCUCACUUUCACUCGAUUAUUUCCUAGUUUACAUGCAUCGUUAUCUAUCUAACUUUCAAUACUUUGUUUCUCAAUCCUCUAUCCACAAUAUUCCUUUUUCAUUUCUUUCAAACAACAUGCCAUACAAUCUUAAUAAUUUUCAACUAGCUUAGGUAAAUAGAUCAUUUCAACAACCAUAAUUCCUUACAAUAUUCAACUAACCGUAGGCUUUAAAACAUAGUGUUCAGCUUACCGUUUUCCUUUUUUACUUUGAGUCUUUCAUGUACCCACAAGUUUAUUGGCUUAUAUGUUACCAAAUUUUCUCCAAUCAAGCCAAUCUUUGCUGCCACAAGACAUUUCUCUAAGUCACUAACUCAUUUUCAAAGACUACUCAAACCAAAAACAAAAAUCCUAACCUUUCCUUGCUUGAAUCACCAAAACCAAGCUUUUUCUUCCUUUCUCUCUUUUUCUUUCUUCUUCUCCUAGGGUUUAGAUGUGCUGGAAAUUGGGAUUAAAAGCUUCAGGUUUAGUGCCCAAGAAGUUUGGAGAAGAAAGAAUUAAGAAAAGAAGGGAAAUGAGAAGAAACAAGGAAAAUCACAUGAAAAAAUAUUGAUUUUCAUGAACUUGACAUGAAAAUGGCAUUGGAAGCUUCAAGAAGGAGAAGAAAAUGUCUUGCU
rnacentral:lncRNA from 1 species